GCGGCCUAUCAGCUUGUUGGUGAGGUAAUGGCUCACCAAGGCGACGACGGGUAGCCGGCCUGAGAGGGCGACCGGCCACACUGGGACUGAGACACGGCCCAGACUCCUACGGGAGGCAGCAGUGGGGAAUAUUGCACAAUGGGCGAAAGCCUGAUGCAGCGACGCCGCGUGAGGGAUGACGGCCUUCGGGUUGUAAACCUCUUUCAGCAGGGAAGAAGCGCAAGUGACGGUACCUGCAGAAGAAGCACCGGCUAACUACGUGCCAGCAGCCGCGGUAAUACGUAGGGUGCGAGCGUUGUCCGGAAUUAUUGGGCGUAAAG
rnacentral:rRNA from 1 species